GAACUAUGUUAUCAAAAGCGAACAAAUUCAAAAUAUCCACGUUAAAAGUACUUGUGUCUUUGAACUAACAUUGUCAAAUAAAGAGCUAUGUGAUACAGUGGAAGGGAAGAUUAUAGUGGUGAACGGGGAAGAAUGCUCAUCGUAUGACACAGCCAUUGAAACACACAACUCCAAAGCAGAAGAAGAAUUAACACUCACAGAAAAAAAUAUCACUAGGAAUGAGCACUACAUUUGGAGUGAAAGAAGAAGAAGGAGAAGGAGAAGAAGAAGAAGAAGAAGAAGAAGAAGAAGAAGAAGAAGAAGAAGAAGAAGAAGAAGAAGAAGAAGACGGAAACACCACUCACAUCAAUCGAU